rnacentral:rRNA from 1 species
AGAGUUUGAUCCUGGCUCAGAUCGAACGCUGGCGGCGUGGCUAAGACAUGCAAGUCGCACGAGAAAGUUCCUUCGGGAACGAGUAGAGUGGCGAAAGGGUGAGGAAUACAUGGAUAACGUACCCCAGGCACAGGGAUAGCCGUGGGAAACCGCGGGUAAUACCCGACACCGUCAUGAUGCUGCAGGGCAUCUUGAUGAAAGGUGGGGACCUUCGGGCCUAUCGGCCUGGGAGCGGUCCAUGUCCUAUCAGCUUGUUGGUGAGGUAACGGCUCACCAAGGCAACGACGGGUACCGGGACUGAGAGGUUGACCCGGCACAUUGGGACUGAGACACUGCCCAGACUCCUACGGGAGGCUGCAGUAACGAAUAUUGCACAAUGGGCGCAAGCCUGAUGCAGCGACGCCGCGUGUGGGAGUAAGCCCUUCGGGGUGUAAACCACUGUCAGGGACUACCAAGCAAUGGAGGUGAAUAAUCUCCUGCGUUGAGGCGUCCCAGAGGAAGUCACGGCUAACUUCGUGCCAGCAGCCGCGGUAAUACGAAGGUGGCAAGCGUUGUUCGGAAUCACUGGGCUUAAAGAGCACGUAGGCGGACUGUCAAGCGUCUUGUGAAAUCCCUCGGCUUAACCGAGGAAUUGCUGGGCGAACUGACAGUCUUGAGGCAAGUAGGGGCGCACGGAACUCUUGGUGGAGCGGUGGAAUGCGUAGAUAUCAAGAGGAACGCCAGAGGCGAAGGCGGUGCGCUGGGCUUGACCUGACGCUGAGGUGCGAAAGCCAGGGGAGCGAACGGGAUUAGAUACCCCGGUAGUCCUGGCCAUAAACGAUGUCUACUAGAUCUGAGGUGUUCUGACACACUUCUGGUCGAAACAAAAGCGUUAAGUA